GCUGGUGUGACGAAUAAUCUAGUGGACGGAACGCUUCUUUCAACAGCAGCAACAGUUAGUCAGACACCUCGGUAGCUUGCUAGACAAAAUAGCCAAACCAAUAAAGCUCUUUAGACGCUUUUGUGUUUAUUAGCCACUGUGUUUUAAACCCACUUCUGUUGUCUAGUUAAUUAUCCGAUUUAAUUUCAUAUUUACUUGGUUGUUUUUGGUCAAAUAGCUGCCUGGUUAAGUUAGCACUAGCCAAGCUAGCUAACAUCCCCGACCAUGAGGUCACUAAGUUACUCUCCUGUUAAAGAAGUGAAAGAGGAGGAGGAAGGAGGAUGUUACAAUACAAAAACAAGUAGAGGGUGAGGCUGUUACAGUGAAAGAAGAAGAGAAAGACGUUUCAGUGAAAGAAGAGAAAGAUGCGUUCAGAGUGAAAGAGGAGGAGGAUGUUACAGUAAAAGAAGAGUGAGUAUUCAGUUUGUGUAGUGGAAGAGAGGGAGAUGACUGUCACAUCGAAAAUGGAGGAGGAAGAAGAGGAGGGAACUGAAUACCUGGGCCCGGUUUCCAAAGGGCAUCUUAAUCCAAUGGUUCUAACGGUGAACUUAGCCAUAAGAUGGUUUUGAGAAACCGUUCCAUGAUUAACACUAGACACACGAGACUGGGGAAAUAUAGGACCAAGCACCGAGAAUGUAAAAUUGGCUGGUGCUGGUGGUCUAGCUCUUCCUCAUUCCGUCGAUGGCCCGCACUCUCUCCCUUCUGGGGGCAGUACCCGAAUGCAAGGAAUCUCCUCGGGCCAGCUAUCCGGCCCCCACUCAAGAGGCGGAGCCGGUGUGUGCUGAUCCAGCGAAGGAGGUGUCCUCAGAGCCCCUUUUUGUGCUACCGCAUCAAGGGAUACAAUUUAAGGUAA
rnacentral:lncRNA from 1 species